ensembl:lncRNA
CUGCAGCAGGGCAGGAAUAGGGCUGGCUUUGUCUGCAGGUCGUUCCUCAUGUAGCAAAAAUGGCUCUGAGUCAAUGGUUUUUUAGAGACAGAAGGGAGGCUUGAAAAAUGAUGAGGAAAGAUGGUCUUUAUUUUCUGACUACUCAUCUGAUGUUCUUUUUGGCUUGAUGAGUGUUGAUAUAGAGAGGGCAUUAAAUUUCCAUGUGCUCUGUUCUUUUAAAGGCCCCAUCAUGGAUGAAAACCUUGGAAACUGGAGAUGCAGUGGAUGUAAAUCUUCAAAGACCUUUCCCUGCUUACUUGUUAAACACUGCAAGCAGCUGGCCCUGCACCAACAAAAUUCAGCACAUGGUGCCAGUGGAAAAGUCAUCUUCCCAAGCCAAUUCCCUGGCUGCCAACAGUGUGGGCACAGGAACCAGAAAACAGAUCAUAAAGGUUCAGCAGCAUGACUCAGAUGUGAUCUACAUUUGAAGCCCCUCAUUUCCUUGCCAGCCUGGUGGGACUGGUGGCCUUUUUGCCUCUGUGGGGACACUUGGGCAGCUCUGGCUGCUGCCAGCUGUGAGGGGCAAGGCACUGUGGAUACAGAGCUGCCAUCCAGCUCCCAGGCUGGUGCCAUCAGCUGGGAAUGCCAGAGGUGCCCCCAGUGUGGCUGGGAGCAGUGCAAAGCCAGAGGAAAUGUUGUUUAUUGCCUGUGCACUUUGGAAAGGACUCUUCACACUUUGCUAAAACCCUUCCUCCCCCAGGUGCUUCAGCUUUGCUGCUGGAGGAAGGAUGUGAGGCAGCGAGUGCCCAGGAGGUGUUUGGGAUGAGAAAACAGAACACAGGCUUGGUGUUUAUCUCCACAACAGACUAAUUAUGGUUUUGGUCCAGUCCCUGGGACAUGACUCCCACAGAGCUGCUUAACGUUUCAAUGUUUGCCUGCCAAGUAUUUUCCUUCUCCUCCCCAAACAUUUCUUGGUUCACUUAAUUGAUUUGCAUUUCUCUGUGAGAAAUCUCAGCUUUUAAUUCCAGAUGCACAAGUGGACAUCUUCAAGUACCUCCCAUUCCUGGGGGAAUCCUUUGUUUGGAAUGCAGAGCUUCUGUUCUUGCAGUCCCUGACCAGAUCAAGCAUUUUCUGCUCGAGCAAACUGUGCAUACAUUAACUGCCUUCCCACUUGUGUGCAGCACAGCUCCCAGAUUAGACAAGGACAAAAGAUGCUGUUGGUGUCUGCUAGAGUGGGACUUGUUUCUGGUGGAGAGAGGUGCAUGCAGCAAAGUGCCUGCCUCAUUAGUAAAGCCCACUUGCAUUUUCUGGCUUUGUGUGUGUUUAAGUGUCUGCUUCUCCAUAAAUCUUCACUCUGAGGACUUCUGGGGAAGCAGACAACAUUCAACUGCAGCUGAAGCAGGAGCCCAGCUGAACUUGUGACGUGUGACUUAAAAAUGAACGGUAAUGUUGUUAAAUGUCUUGUUCUAAAAGCUGAGAUUAAAGAAUAAACCAGGGUUCAACAAAAAGCUUCA